UUUGCAACUAGUACUAUUUUUUAUUUAUUUUUACUUUGUUAUUUUAAAAUCAUGAUAUAAAUUGACAAUAUUUUGUUUCUUUUUUAAAAAGAUACUAAAUAUGAAAUAACUAAUUUCUAUUGGUCGGUGAACUACCCAAGAAUAACAAAUAUAUAAAUCAUAUAUCUUAUUAUAUUAAGGAGUGUUUUGCUCCUUCCUAGGUCCUCCAUGUAGGAAUUUACGUCAGAAAGUCGAGUGUUGCCGAGUCGACACGUGUCCUGUUCAACAACGCAUUGCGUUUCAUUUAUUUGUGUCUGCAAUACAUGUGGGCUUUAGUGUGUGUUCGGGCUUAAUGAACCCAAUCCGGAUAAAGAGAAACACCAGUUGUUAUGGAAACGCGUUGUUUCUGAUUUAGGGUUCAACCCGUUCUUAAUCUCCCCCAUUCGAGAGCUAAUCUCAACCUAAGGUUUCUCUGGUGUUGUUUCAUCUUCUUCCUAACAAUCCGAGAAACUAUCAGUUACAGAUUCAUCCUCUUAAAUCCACCACCCACGAUCUACCUUGAAUCCGAUCUUCACGCAAGGCCGUGGAACUGCGACUAUAAAAAAACCGGACGAGUACGGCACAAUAGGAGGAGGAAAGCGGUAGCGACGGAGGAGAGGAGGAUCAAGGCAAUGAGGGACCAGCCGUGUCCGGUUUGAAUCCGGUUGUUUAUUGCAACACUCAUUCCAGUGUUCAUUGUCUUCCCACCUACAAGUGACUGGGUUCUAUGUUUUACUUUGAUUUCACUUGGUGUAAUCAGAACUUUUGACUGUCAGACUCUCUUCAAUUGAUGCGGUCCAGUGAUGAACCCGGUUUGAUGAGUUAACCAAACCGAUUACACCCAUUCCUGAAGAACACUUCGGGUUCCUUAAUCACAGUGAACGGUCACUGUAUGAACUCCAAGAGUUUCUGAAACCAAGCGUAAGGAGAACAGCAGUUUGAGGAAGGAAUGGUAGAGUUUAUUGGACUGCUGAAGAUGGCUGUCAAGGAAGGUAUUAACUUAGCUAUCAGGACUUGAUGUGAAGUGAUCCUUAUGUUGUUUUCAAUCUAGGGAAGCAACAAGUUGAUAUCUAGCCUCUGAUACAUUCUGUGCUGAUGACAUAAUGGGAGAAGCUCAACUUGAUAUCCAGCCUCUGAUAACAUCUGCAAUGGCGUUUGGGGAUCCAUAGAUGUUUGGAGAUAUUCAGAUUGGGAAAUGGCUAAAGUUGCAUGAUAAUCCGCCAAUAGAUGACAACAUCAUUAACAUUGUUGAUGGGAAAGUGAAGCAUGCAGGAGGUUUAGAUCAAGCUUCAGGGUGUAAAGUCUGUAGAAUUAGAGCUGGAAAUGGAAUGGCUGCCACUUGACCAAUAAUACUAAUACCUGUAGAUUCCACUUUAUAAACUUACACUUUUUGCAAUAAGUACAUUGAUUUUUUUUGUUGAAACAUUUUUAGAUCUCUCAUUUCUUUACACAAAAAUAUUUGUUUGUAA